GCGGGCCUCGAUCCCAGAACCCUGAGAUCAUGACCUGAGCCAAAGGCAGAGGCUUAACCCACUGAGCCACCCAGGUGCCCAGGAAUUUAUUUUUUAAACUGACAUGAAUUCCUAGGUCUGUCAAACAUGAAUGUUCUUCAAUUUGUUCUUUUUCUUAACACAUGGUUAAUUGGCUUAAAUCCAAUGACUGAGAGGUCAAAGAGUCACCACUUAAAGCAUACCUGGUAUUUUUUAUUUUUGACUUUAUAUUAAUGUCUUGAGAAUUUCUUUGAUAAUUUAUUCAACAUAUAUCUGAGUUGUUCUAGGUGCUGGAGAUGCAGUGGUGAAAAAGAUCAAGCCCCUGACAUCAUGACUGGUGAAAAUUUAUUACUGGCUGACCCCAACCUGGGAACCCACUUCGGGUCACUCUAGUCUGAAAGAAUUAGUCCCGAGGAUCUAAAACUUCAAGCUAUGAAAAAGGCUCCAAUGGGAAAACAGGAAGGAAAAUGAAAGGGAAGUGGUGGCGAAGGGGAGAUUCCAUGUUGGUGAACACAUUGAUGUGCCGGACGGUGAUGUGCCCUGAUUCAAUGAGGAGAAGGCACAGAAGCUUUUCAUUUGGGACCCUUCCACAACUCACCCUCUGGUCUCUUCAUUUAGUUGGUCCUCCAUAGCCUUCAUAAUGAAACUGUGAUAGUAAAUACUGCACUUUCCUGAGUUCUGUCAUUCCUUCUAGUGAAUUAUCAAACCUGAGGGGGUCAUGAGUCCCCAGAUUUGUAACAAAAUAAUCAGAAAUUCCAGUAGCCGGAGGACCCUGAAACUAUGACUGCCAUCUGAAGUGGGAGCCAUCUUGUAAAGGACUGCGCAGUUAACGUGAGGGGUGGUUAGUACCAGAAAUGAAUUGCAGUACGCUGUUUGAGGUGGAAAUGAAAUAAUGUCACAGAAUGAAAGCCAUUUUGCUGAUAGCAACAUUUUCAGUGGGAACUUUUUGGGAUGACCUAAAACAAAAGGAGAUUAGCAUUGCUUUAAAAAAUAUUCUUACCAAAGAGGAGAAUUGGCUACAAUCUCAAGGUUUAAAGCAUCACUCUCUCUACAUCUCAUUUUUCAUCAUAGUGUUCAGGAAAAGUAUUCUGUUAGCAGUCAAAAUGGCUUAAUCCCUAGAAUUACAUUUCUGCUUUUCAAAUAAAUAGGCUGUUUGUUUUUACUCUUAGGGUUUUUCCCCUGCCCUCCUGGAUAUAAACACCUUGCUAUCUUGUUGCAGAAAGGGA